rnacentral:rRNA from 1 species
UGGGGAAUUUUGCACAAUGGAGGAAACUCUGAUGCAGCGACGCCGCGUGAGUGAUGAAGAUCUUCGGAUUGUAAAACUCUGUCCUUAGUGAAGAUAAUGACAGUAACUAAGAAGCAAGCCCUGGCUAAAUACGUGCCAGCAGCCGCGGUAAUACGUAUGGGGCAAGCGUUGUCCGGAAUUAUUGGGCGUAAAGGGUACGUAGGCGGUUUAAUAAGUCCUAAUUAAAAGGCUAUGGCUCAACCAUAGUAUGGUUAGGAAACUGUUGAACUUGAGUAGAUGAGGGGAAAGUGGGAUUCCAUGUGUAGCGGUGAAAUGCGUAGAUAUAUGGAGGAACACCAAUGGCGAAGGCAACUUUCUGGAAUCAAACUGACGCUGAGGUACGAAGGCGUGGGGAGCAAACAGG